UUCGCGGUGUGCGGCCACGUGCCGGGAUCCUCGGCGAGCAGCUGCCGCCCCAGGAACUGCCCGUCGGCGAGCACGCCGAGCGUCACCGGGUCGCCGUAGCGGGCCGUGCCGAUGGUGGCCACCUUGCCGGAAGCGACGAGGAAGCCGGCGUCCGCCGGCUGCCCCGCCUCGGCGAGCAGGUCGCCGGGCUGGUACGUGCGCUGCUCGAACCGCCCGGCGACCGUCGCCAGCACGAUCGGGUCGUCGAAGCCGCGGAGGAUGGGCAGCUCGCCCAGGCUCUCCGGCACCACCCGGACCUCGCCUCCGGUGCUGUAACAGGCGGCCCGCCCCUCACCGAGCGCGUGGCUCAGCCGCCGGUUGACCCGGUACGUCCCGGCGUCGGUGUCCACCCACGGCAGCUUGCGCAGCAGCCACCGCGAGCUGAUGGCGCGCAUCUGCGGCACCGACUUGGUCGUGGUCGCCAGCUUCCGGGCCGCGGUGGUGCUGAGGCUCAGGCUGACGCG
rnacentral:antisense_RNA from 1 species